CUCUAGACCACCACUACAAGAAAAAGGCUCUUCAGAGACCAAUAUUUAAGGACAAGUCAUGAAUCUAGUCCCUAAAAGUAUACUUAUAGAGACGAGUUUUUCUUCAGGUCAUAAUUCUUAAACUUUAUUGCGAAGGGACUAAAUCUUGUCACAAAAAUAAUAAAUAUCUGGCCCUUAUUUCUCCAAGUUGAGUAACCCCACACAAUUUUUCCUCAAUAACAUGAAAGAAAUGAAGAAAUAAAUAUACUCUGGAUUAAAUCUCUCUCAAAAUUACUUGUCUAUUCCUUAAAUCCCUAAUAACUAUAGGCACACCACUAUCUCAGAUUCAUCUAUAGGUCCCCACUAAUAAACCCUAAACCUUUAUCAUCUACAACAACAACAAUGAAGAACUUUCGUUGUGCCUCUCUCUAUAUUCGGAGCUUCCAUUCUACACUCUGUAAAACUUACCCUUUUCUAAUUGCUUAGACUUUUUUUCUGUGUGGUUCCUCUAUAAAUAUUCUAAAAAUAUUUUCCUAAAAUCAAAUGUGAUGUUAGCUGGUUUUGAUUUUGGAUGUGAUUGGGUUUCAAAGUCUAACGCUAUGGCACUGGUAAGUAGCUCAAGGCUUUUUUCAUAUCGUAAUUUUUCUGGUUUUAAGAAUAGAUCUGAGAUUUUGAUUUUUUGGUUAAUAGAUGAAUUGUGUUGGUUAUUGGUGUAAUAUUCUAUAUUUUUUGCUGGUUUCCUAGUAGUGGUAGACCAAAAUUAUAACAAUUCUUUGUGAACUGAACAACUAUUGUUUAUUCUACCCAAUUUUUUUUGGUUCCUCUAUGACAAUGGUUGGUAACCUUUUUGGAGUUCAUUUGAGGAAUAACCCUUUUUGAAAUUUCUAUUUGCUUCAAUGAUUUUAUGGGAACUUGAUGGACACUUAAAGAUUUGCAAGGUAAAUCUAGUUUGUUACGAGAGGGUCGUGGAUAAGUUGACGGACAAUGAGGAGGCCGAGCAGUUUUUUUGUGGCGUUCAUGGAUUUUGAGGAGAAGUGUAAGGAGACAAAGAGGGCUAGGUGCAUAUAUAAGUUUGUGUUCAAUCACAGAGUGAAACGGCGAGCCAAGGAUUUGUACAGGAAGUUUGUGGCGUUAGAAAAGUAGUAUGGUGAUAAGGAAGGUAUUGAGGAUGCUAUAGUUGGAAAAGGUUUGUUUCAAUAUGAGGAUGAAGUAAGAAAAAAUCCACGUAACUAUUAUAUGUGGUUUGAAUAUAUUUGGCUGGAAGAGAGCGUUGGAAAUAAAGAGAGGAUUAGAGAGGUUUAUGUGAGAGCCAUUGCUAAUGUUCCUCCUGCUGAAGAGAAGCAGUAUUGGCAGCGAUACAUUUUCUUGUGGUAAAUUUGACAACCUUUACUUCAAAUGUGAUAUUUGAAUUCUGUUUCAGAUACCUUAUUUUGUUUAUUGGAUGACUUUUCUCUUUUUAGCAUUAAUUAUGCAUUAUAUGAAGAUCUUGAUGCACAAGACAUAGAAAGGACCAGAGAUGUCUACCGGUAAGACAUCAUUGUCUCGAUUGAAAUAUCACUAUGUAGUUCAUUUAGUUGAUGAACUGUAUUAUUUAUCAUGCUUUAUGUUUAAUACUGUGGAGUGCCAAGUGUUGUGAUAGUAGGUCACUGGUAAUGGAAAACCUAAUCUAGCUUUACCAACAGUGCUUUCUUUUGUAUGUAUCUUAUCUCUUUGUUAAUUAGAAGGGCUAAAGGGGUUGUAUGGCAUGUGUCAAAAUUAUUCCAAUAUUCCCCUAUUAAUUGCAUGGUUUAGGUACUUAUCAAAAUCUUUUGCCUGGUUUAGGUAAUUAUGAGAUAAGAGUUGGAGUGCUGAGUCAAACUAUUAGAGCCAAGACUCCACCUUAUAAACAUAAUGAGUCGGUUCCUCAAUUGGUCAUUGAACUUGUAGAAAUAACCCACUAAAGUAACUUUUGAAUUUUUUCUGACAACAAGGUCAUCAAACUAUGCUCAUGUUUCCAAUAAGGUAAAAACGAACAGAAAGUUAAAUAUUUUAACGAUUGUUUGCAUCCUCAUCUUUUUAUGAUCCAUUUAGUGAGUCAGUUUUCCCAUCUGGUUUUGCCCCAAUAUUUACAACAUUGAAUGGUAACAUAUCAACUAUGAACUCAGAGAAAAAGAUGGAGAGAACUGAAAUUAUAAGAAUAGAAGAAAUGGAGUUCUCCAUUUUCAUGUUUCUUAAUGAGAUAUGAAAUGAUUAAUUAAAGACUAAAAAAGAGAAGAUUAGAGUUGAGAUGAUGAAUGUGGUUGAGCUGUUUCUGAGUUGAGAUAUAUUUAAAAUUGAGCUCUACAACUUGUUAUUAUUUAGUUUUAUACAUCAUAUAUGAGUGACUUUUAUGAAAUACAUGUGGAAUAAAAAGCAAGAAACUGUUUUUGUAGAGUAACUUACUUUCAAGAAUGAAAAUUUGAGAUAGUAGAGAAGCAUGGGCAUAUCUUGGUCACAUGUUAAAGACUUUAGCCACACACGAAAAAAAAACAGAUCAAAACAAUUAGUACUAACUAAGUAAAAGUUUUUGCAAGAAGCUGAAGGAAGCACUUCAAGCUUAUAUGGAUUUGAAGUCUUUCUGACAUAAAAUAUAUCAUUGACCUGAACUGUUUUUCAUUUUCUGUUCAUUAAACAUAAAAAUUACUAAAAACAAAGGAUUUUUUAGAUGAGAGAAACCAAAAGUUGGUUAUCAAAGAAUAAACAAGAACUUCUUCAAGAAAGAGAGAAGAAAAAAGUUCCAUAUCACAUAAAAUGGUUCUGUAACAUUUAUUCAGUUAAUUGAUGGGUCAAACGAAAAUGGAUCCUAAAAAGUUGAGGAUGUAAACUUUGGUAAAAUAUUUAACUUUCUGUUUGUUUUUACCUUAUUGGAAACAUGGCCAUAGUGUUAUGAUCUUAUUGUCAAAAAAAAUUCAAAAAUUGCUGUAAUAUGUUAUUUCUACAAGUUCAAUGACCAUUUGAGGACUUGGCUCAAAUAUAACUUAUCAGUAUGAAUUUUGUUCCAUUUAUUUGUCUUAUGUCCACAUUGUAUUUUCAUGAUCAAUUUUGAAGCAAUUACAUUCACGCUUUCACAGAUGAAUUGUGCUUUGGGAUAAUUUUCUUCAAGAAUAUGACAGCUGCAGAGCUGAUAGAGAAACAAAUGGCCGCUUAAAUCAUCUCGGUGAAGAAUGAAACAACAGCUUCUCCAGUAUUCUGGUGACUAUUAAAGAUUGUAUGCAAUAUCAAGGCUGAUUGGAGAUUUGACGACUUACUCAUAGUAGAUAUUGUGUUUGAGAUGGAUAUUUCAAUAAAAUCACUACAGAUUUUGGAAGCUGAAGUUACAAGUCAAUAUGAAGGUUUUGAAGGCAUACAAGUGGACUGUCAUUUUGCUAUGAAUAUUAUACUAGACUUAUACCAUAGUCUAGGGAUAGAUUUUAUUGCUUAGGGGUUGAGUAAAAAUUGUGACAAAUCAUUUUUUGUAAUUGAUUACUCUUUUUUAUGUAUAAAAGUAGGAUUAUCUUUAUAUCCUCUUUUUGUAUUCAUAUUUUUUAGUUGCAGGUACAAUAUACCUUGCAGAUUAAUUAUUGAUAAAGAGAAACUAG